rnacentral:rRNA from 1 species
CCUACGGGGGGCAGCAGUGGGGAAUAUUGGACAAUGGGGGGAACCCUGAUCCAGCCAUGCCGCGUGUGUGAAGAAGGCCCUCGGGUUGUAAAGCACUUUCAGUGAGGAAGAACGCCUGGUGGUUAAUACCCAUCAGGAAAGACAUCACUCACAGAAGAAGCACCGGCUAACUCCGUGCCAGCAGCCGCGGUAAUACGGAGGGUGCGAGCGUUAAUCGGAAUUACUGGGCGUAAAGCGCGCGUAGGUGGCUUGAUAAGCCGGUUGUGAAAGCCCCGGGCUCAACCUGGGAACGGCAUCCGGAACUGUCAAGCUAGAGUGCAGGAGAGGAGGGUAGAAUUCCCGGUGUAGCGGUGAAAGGCGUAGAGAUCGGGAGGAAUACCAGUGGCGAAGGCGGCCCUAUGGACUGACACUGACGCUGAGGUGCGAAAGCGUGGGUAGCAAACAGGAUUAGAUACCCGAGUAGUC